GACGAACGCUGGCGGCGUGCUUAACACAUGCAAGUCGAACGGUGAAGGGGAGCUUGCUCCCCGGAUCAGUGGCGAACGGGUGAGUAACACGUGGGCAACCUGCCCCAGACUUCGGGAUAACGCUUCGAAAGAGGUGCUAAUACCGGAUACGAACUCCUUGGGCAUCCUGGGAGUUGGAAAGUUUUUCGGUCUGGGAUGGGCCCGCGGCCUAUCAGCUAGUUGGUGAGGUAACGGCUCACCAAGGCGACGACGGGUAGCCGGCCUGAGAGGGCGACCGGCCACACUGGGACUGAGACACGGCCCAGACUCCUACGGGAGGCAGCAGUGGGGAAUAUUGCGCAAUGGGCGAAAGCCUGACGCAGCAACGCCGCGUGAGGGAUGACGGCCUUCGGGUUGUAAACCUCUUUCAGCAGGGAAGAAGCGAAAGUGACGGUACCUGCAGAAGAAGCACCGGCUAACUACGUGCCAGCCGCCGCGGUAAGAC
rnacentral:rRNA from 1 species